rnacentral:rRNA from 1 species
GACGAACGCUGGCGGCGUGCCUAAUACAUGCAAGUCGAGCGAAGCGGCGGAUGGGUGAGUAACGCGUGGGUAACCUGCCAUUCAGUCUGGGAUACCAUUUGGAAACAGAUGCUAAUACCGGAUACUAAAGGAUGGACCGGCGAUGCAUUAGCUAGGUGGUAAGGUAACGGCUUAGCAAGGCGAUGAUGCAUAGCCGGUAUGAGAUACUGAUCGGCCACACUGGGACUGAGACACGGCCCAGACUCCUACGGGAGGCAGCAGUAGGGAAUCUUCCACAAUGGACGAAAGUCUGACGGAGCAACGCCGCGUGAGUGAAGAAGGUUUUCGGGUCGUAAAGCUCUGUUGUUGGUGAAGCGGUAAUCAACCAGAAAGCCACGGCUAACUACGUGCCAGCAGCCGCGGUAAUAC